UACAGGGGGGGGCAAGCGUUGUUCGGAAUUACUGGGCGUAAAGAGCGCGCAGGCGGUCGUUCAAGUCGCGUGUGAAAGCCCCCGGCUCAACUGGGGAGGGUCACGCGAUACUGAUCGACUCGAAGGCAGGAGAGGGUAGUGGAAUUCCCGGUGUAGUGGUGAAAUGCGUAGAUAUCGGGAGGAACACCAGUGGCGAAGGCGACUACCUGGCCUGUUCUUGACGCUGAGGCGCGAAAGCUAGGGGAGCAAACGGG
rnacentral:rRNA from 1 species